rnacentral:rRNA from 1 species
UACGUAGGGUGCGAGCGUUGUCCGGAAUUAUUGGGCGUAAAGAGCUCGUAGGCGGUGUGUCACGUCGUUCGUGAAAACCUGCAGCUUAACUGUGGGCGUGCGGUCGAUACGGGCAUCACUGGAGUUCGGCAGGGGAGACUGGAAUUCCUGGUGUAGCGGUGAAAUGCGCAGACUAUCAGGAGGAACACCGGUGGCGAAGGCGGCUCACUGGCCCGGUACUGACGCUGGAGGUGCGGAAAGCGUGGGUAGCAAACAGG